UGCAAAGUUUUUGAGUUAUAAUUUACAAUUUUUCUUUUUUCCAGGUACCAUGUUUCGCUUCCAGGUUUCCGGCGCAUCUAGGAGGAAUCACAGGUAGGUAAUUUGUUGGUAAGUAUGGGUUCAUUUGUUUUUUAGGUGUUGUCGUGACUUGGCCUUUGGGUUGCCAGCCAGCUCAUGCCGGCCACAGGUGAAGAGUAGGCGUUGGUGUGAGGUAAGUAGAAUCCUGCAAGGAGAGAAUGAUUUGCCAGGCAGGAAUCCCGAUAUUCAUCUGUGUGUUUUUAUUUUCAGGUAUGGGCAGGUUGGAGUGAAAGCCCAGUAAGGAGUUGACUUUUCCAGAGCGACCUCGACAGUUCAUGUAAGCUUGUUGGGGCCAGGUGGGACGUCUCAUUGGCACAUUUUGCUGUGUUGUGGCAGUUUGUGUUGUUCAGGUUUUGUGCAUCAGGAUUGGAGAUGUCGGAUCCGAAGGCGCCGACCAGAAGGACUCCGCUGGUGUGAAUUUGAUGAGAAAUUCGACAGCGUCAGUCCUGGAUUGCUCCUGUUUGGAUCCCGCAUCAAUGUCAUCAGCUGACCGAUGACCAAAUUUAGCUGCUGCAUCAUGGCCAUGAGGUCUCGAUAUAUUGGCUGCAUUUGACCAGGAGUAUCUCCUUCUUGUGGCAGUCGUUGUUUUAGGGGAGUGUUUUGUUUUUGUGUUGUGUAGUGGUGUUUAUUGUUGUUGUAGUAGCUUUUACUUUUGUAUCGUGUUGUAUUAUCAUUUUGUUUGUUAUUAUUAGUAUUAGGUUUAAUGUUUAUUAACGUUUUGUUUGUAUUUUCCAGUUUUGUGUUCAUAGCAGAGUUCGAGCAGGAGACGGUCGUGGAGUUUUGGCUUAUUUCGCCAAAAUAUUGCGUCGAGGGCACCCGGGGGAAAGGCCAGUCAGCCUCUCUUUUAAAAGUUGACGCAUACUGGAUUGGGGUUUCUCUUGUGUUGGCAAUCCUUGGUGUCGUGAGUGCCGGCACAUUUCAUACAGGCAACCUGACCAUGGCAGUAGUUCCUUGUAUGUCCGAACGCCUGGCAUUUGUGGCACUGUGCCGGGGUCAGGCGCCUGUGGAGUUUUUCAAUUCUCACUUGGUAAGGGCCUAGAAGUUUUAGAGUGCGUCAUUGCGGCUGAGUGGUCUUCAUUGGAGUAGCAGGUUUAGGUUUUCUAAUUGGGCGAGCAGCGGGCCAACGUCUGGGAUGCGGGAGAUCCAGAUGUCCGGAAUCCUCUCGCUUCGAUGACCGCUGUGAUCAGAAGCAGAACGGCCGUCAUUUACGGAUUGCUCGUCUCUCCUCUCACCUUGGUUGCACGUCGCAAUGGAGCUAGUCGUAGUAUUUAAUUUUAUUUUUGACUCUGUAUUUGUUUUAUUAGUUUUAGUUAUA